rnacentral:rRNA from 1 species
CAGUCGCCACGGUAAAACGGAGGGUGCAAGCGUUAAUCGGAAUUACUGGGCGCAAAGCGUGCGUAGGCGGUGAGUUAAGUCUGCUGUGAAAUCCCCGGGCUCAACCUGGGAAUGGCAGUGGAUACUGGCUCGCUAGAGUGUGUCAGAGGAUGGUGGAAUUCCCGGUGCAGCGGUGAAAUGCGUAGAGAUCGGGAGGAACAUCAGUGGCGAAGGCGGCCAUCUGGGCCAACACUGACACUGAGGCACGAAAGCGUGGGGAGCAAACAGGAUUAGAGACCCCCGUAGUCCCUGUCUCUUAUAC